rnacentral:rRNA from 1 species
AGUGAACGCUGGCGGUAGGCCUAACACAUGCAAGUCGAACGGCAGCACAGUAAGAGCUUGCUCUUACGGGUGGCGAGUGGCGGACGGGUGAGGAAUACAUCGGAAUCUACUUUUUCUGGGGGGUUAACGUAGGAAAACUUACGCUAUUACCCCUUCCGCCCAACGGUUGAAACCAGGGAAUUUUCGACCCUGGCGGAAUUGAUUGAGCCGAUGUCGGAUUAGCUAGUUGGCGGGGUAAAGGCCCACCAAGGCGACGAUCCGUAGCUGGUCUGAGAGGAUGAUCAGCCACACUGGAACUGAGACACGGUCCAGACUCCUACGGGAGGCAGCAGUGGGGAAUAUUGGACAAUGGGCGCAAGCCUGAUCCAGCCAUACCGCGUGGGUGAAGAAGGCCUUCGGGUUGUAAAGCCCUUUUGUUGGGAAAGAAAAGCAGCAGGUUAAUACCCCGCUGUUCUGACGGUACCCAAAGAAUAAGCACCGGCUAACUUCGUG